GGAAAAGAAACUAACAAGGAUUCCCCUAGUAACGGCGAGUGAAGCGGGAAGAGCUCAAAUUUGAAAUCUGGCAGUCUUCGAUUGUCCGAGUUGUAAUCUAUAGAGGCGUUUUCCGUGCCGGACCGUGUCCAAGUCUCCUGGAAAGGAGUAUCAAAGAGGGUGAUAAUCCCGUACUUAACACGACCACCGGUGCUCUGUGAUACGUCUUCUACGAGUCGAGUUGUUUGGGAAUGCAGCUCAAAAUGGGUGGUGAAUUCCAUCUAAAGCUAAAUAUUGGCGAGAGACCGAUAGCGAACAAGUACCGUGAGGGAAAGAUGAAAAGCACUUUGGAAAGAGAGUUAAACAGUACGUGAAAUUGUUGAAAGGGAAACGAUUGAAGUCAGUCGUGUUCUUUGGAUUCAGCCAGUUCUGCUGGUCUACUUCCUUGGAACGGGUCAACAUCAGUUUUGUCCGGUGGAUAAAGGUAGUAGGAAUGUGACUUCUCCGGAAGUGUUAUAGCCUAUUAUCACAUACACUGGGUGAGACUGAGGACUGCAGCUCGCCUUUAUGGCCGGCCUUCGGGCACGUUCGAGCUUAGGAUGUUGACAUAAUGGCUUUAAACGACCCGUCUU
rnacentral:rRNA from 1 species